UAUAUUUAGAUGGAAAAGAUGUUGGCGUAGGUGUGUUGCUGGAGAUCAUACUGUGACCUUACACAUGCUAGGUAGGCAACACCACCACUUAGCUACACCCCAUCCCCUCAAAUAUGAUAAAUCAUGGUCUCUGAUACUGUGUGCAUUCACUUAACUCCUCAGCAAGGGCUGGGGAACUGUCUGCUUUGUUUGGAGCAAACACGCCAUGUCUGAAGGUAGCCGAGACUUUAAACACAGACAAAUGGACGCUUUUCUCCAGGAGCAAAGGUACAUCUACUGACCCUGCAUUUGUCCCUGAGAACCAGGCCAGAAGCCAGUCUUGCCUCCCAUGGGAACCAGGUGUCACUUUUAGUAAGACAGCGAAGACCCAAAUGUCUGUCUUCCCAAGAUCUAUGUUUCUCACUCCUCAACUCAUGCCCGUCCCGUCUCCGGGCUUCUCCGUCUCCUUUCUUCCUUCCUAGGAAAGGACGUUCAUUUCCUUCUCUCAUGAGGGUUUCAAAUCAGAAGUCCUUCGGAUGGACUCCCGUUCACUUCCACAGCGGUGCUCAGCCCGUAGUAAAGGUCUCAGGGGCGCUCUGCAGAGCCGGGUUCUCCUACCCGCCUUCCUUCCACGGACAAGCUCGCGCCUGCGCAGCCACUACCUUCUCUCGGGCCGCCCGCUUCGAAUGCGCUCUAGCCACGUAACAAUGGCGCCACCGCAGCCCCACCUCCGGGCGUUGGCCGCUGAGGCCCCGCCUCGCGCUGUCCUUAUGGCCUGAAGGCCAGACUUGGCCGCCUCCCUGAAAAAGGGGUAGAUCAUGAGGGGUCAGCUCGGGGUCACGCCUGCCGUCGACAGUUGGAUGGGGACGUGGGUCCACCGACUGCGCUUCCAGGUGUUCGGGAUGUGGCCCUCCCGCAACGCCGGAAGUGGUGGUAAGAUUAAUCUGGUUCCUGAUCCUCAAUCCAUUUUGCUCAGAAGCGGAAAAUUGAAGAAAUGAGGUGUACAUUUCAUCUUUGGUUGAACUCUAAAUGGAAGAGUAUAUGAAAUGGCCCUGGUGAGAAAAAAACAAAACAAAAAACUGAGAAAACAUGGGACACAGGUAUAUUGACAUUCAAGUCACAGAGAACUGAAGUAAAUUGGAUGUUAACAUAUAGCGAUGCAUGUAGCAUUAGUCCAUACAGCCCCUGUCUUAAAGCUA